GAAAUUGAACAAGUGAUCCUGAGACAUUCUGCAUUAAACAAGGAUGAUUGGAAAGCAAGUAUGAAAACCAGCCUGGAGAAAGAAAUGCAAAUGAAAAUGUCUCGAGGCAUUAAGAAUGAAGGGCUUCUUCCUCAGGAACCUGGCAGUUAUACUGCUAUACAGCUGUUAGAAAGUAGGCUCCAAGCCCAGCAUGGAACCCAAUACAGGGCUUGAACUCACGAUCCUGAGAUCAAGACCUGAGCUGAGAUCAAGAGUUGGAUGCUCAACCAACUGAGCCACCCAGGUGUCCCUCAGAGUAACUUUUGAGACAAAUGAAGUUACAAUGUUCUGAGACAAUCCUCAAAUUAUUCCUCAUUGUCACGGAGGGGCAGAGUUCUCCACAGAAAAGUGAUGAAUAAGAAGCAAAGUAUUCUAUUCAGCUUUUACAAAGGUUAUUCCGCAAUACAAAGGUUAAGUAAAAAUCCAUGCUGAGAAAGAGAUACUUGCAUUUUCUGCAAUAGAAUCACUGUAUAUCUAAUUUUUAGACCCUGUUAGGCAAUAAAGUCAGCACCAUACUGAGUCUCAUUUAUAGAGUAAUGAUUGAAAUGGAAGCCUAUUUUAUAGUUUUUAUAAAGUCCUCAACACAAAAUAUGCUUCCAGGAGUUUGGCUUCCUUUCCUCUCUCUCUCCCUCUCUCUCCUCUCUUUCCCUAACAUUUUUAAAUUAUAUCCCAUAUAAAAAUGUUAUAUAUAUAACAUGUUCAAAAGAAAAGAGAGAUUAAA